CCAAACAACUCUCCUCUCUCCCUCUAGAAAGCUCACGGCCAAACAUCCCUAAUCACCCAUCAAUUUUUCGAGCCUUGUUCAAGCCAUUCCAAGCAUACCCAAGCAUCAAGGAUCACGUAUUAGGAGGCUUGGUGCACUCGGAGCACGAAGGACCUUUUUCUCUAGCUUUUAUCCACCACAUUCGCGUCUAGAUUCUUCCCUAGCCUCGAGCUAGUGCUCACAUGAUGUGUUACGACGUUAAAUAAGCAAACCCGGUGAAGUUUACGACGCACAGGAACGCAAAGUUGUAACUAGGAUGGAUGUGCGCGUGGUCUCUCUUAUGCUCGUGGAUGUCGCUUGUGUUUGUCUUUAAAUAAAGUGUAAACCUUUUAAGACAAUGUUUUAUGUUAACUCGCGUUGUAAACGCUAACUUAUGAUUUCAAGUUAUGGUAUUUGAAGUUAUUUUC
rnacentral:lncRNA from 1 species